rnacentral:rRNA from 1 species
GAUGAACGCUGGCGGCGUGCCUAAUACAUGCAAGUCGAGCGAACAGACGAGGAGCUUGCUCCUCUGACGUUAGCGGCGGACGGGUGAGUAACACGUGGAUAACCUACCUAUAAGACUGGGAUAACUUCGGGAAACCGGAGCUAAUACCGGAUAAUAUAUUGCACCGCAUGGUUCAAUAGUGAAAGACGGUUUUGCUGUCACUUAUAGAUGGAUCCGCGCCGCAUUAGCUAGUUGGUAAGGUAACGGCUUACCAAGGCAACGAUGCGUAGCCGACCUGAGAGGGUGAUCGGCCACACUGGAACUGAGACACGGUCCAGACUCCUACGGGAGGCAGCAGUAGGGAAUCGUCCGCAAUGGGCGAAAGCCUGACGGAGCAACGCCGCGUGAGUGAUGAAGGUCUUCGGAUCGUAAAACUCUGUUAUUAGGGAAGAACAAAUGUGUAAGUAACUAUGCACGUCUUGACGGUACCUAAUCAGAAAGCCACGGCUAACUACGUG